UACGAAGGGGGCUAGCGUUGCUCGGAAUCACUGGGCGUAAAGGGUGCGUAGGCGGGUUUUUAAGUCAGGGGUGAAAUCCUGGAGCUCAACUCCAGAACUGCCUUUGAUACUGAAGAUCUUGAGUUCGGGAGAGGUGAGUGGAACUGCGAGUGUAGAGGUGAAAUUCGUAGAUAUUCGCAAGAACACCGGUGGCGAAGGCGGCCAACUGGACCAUUACUGACGCUGAGGCGCGAAAGCGUGGGGAGCAAACAGG
rnacentral:rRNA from 1 species